CACGCUUCUAAGAUCGGGAGAAGAUGACCCUCAACUCUCCUAUUUACAUUGUGUUUUCAGACUGUCUGCCUGGGGCCAUGCAGUUCUAUCUACAGUCAGGAUGCACGAAAUCGCCAAGUUAGGAAGAACAUCUGCGACCACUCAGGCCGACUCCCCCACUGUGCAGGUGAUGACACCAAAGCCCAAGGAGGUCUGGUGACAAAUUCAAGACACAAUGAACUCAACCAGCAGAGUGAGGACAGCAGGGGAAGGGAAGGAGUCCAGGAAGGCCCCCGGAGGACGGAGCCUUGGAGAACGUGCAGAUCCCUCCAGUGCCUGUGUGGAGAGAGGACCCAGCAGAAGUGAGAAGAGUAACGAGGGCCAUCAACAGGCACGAGGGCGAGCGCAAACCAGACCGAGCCUGCGCAGCGGACAGCAGGGCAAAUCAGACCGAGCCUGCGCAGCGGACAGCAGGGCUAGAGCCGAACGCUAGGAGGUCAUGGUGGAAGAGUUUAGAGACCGACUGCGUGGGGGGGGGGGGAGCAGAAGCUGGCACACUCCCCAGAUUUCUAGCUUGGGGGAGGCACACGGCAGUGCUGCCAAAUGAAGCAGGGGUCGCAGGAGGAGGAGAAACCAUUUUGAAGGGAAGAUGGUAAACGCAGCUUUUGACACUUUGCACUUAAGUUUCCUAUGGGGGUAGAUGUUCAGAGAUGGUCAAAAUGUGUUCAGAGUUUGUGGGGUGAUCUAGGAAAGACCAUUAAUGUUUAUUUAGGUGCCAGGUAAAUAAGAUUAACUAGGGAGAGAACGUGGUGGGAGAGUAGAGCGAGGCGGGAGACAAACGCCUGUGGCUCCGGUGUUGAAGGGUGGAGAGAAGAGGCCACACGGGCGGAGGUGGCAGAGGGCCUGAGCCAGGUGGAGGGAGGGUCACAGGGUAUGAGAGCAGUCGGUCCGUGAGCCGAAGCCUGAAAACUCUUCGUUGGGCUUUGCAAGUGGAAGGUUACAGGUUUCCUUAGCUGGAAUGGUACCACCGUCUUGAUUCAGGUGGAAGAAAAAGUGGUUAUGAGUUUUAAACGUUUGAAAGGUGACGAAGAAGAAACAGUGAGUGUCUGUUCAGGCUGCAGUAACAAAACACUGAAGAUGGGGGCUUGUAAACGAGAGCGAUUUCCCUCUCACGGUUCUGGAGGCUGGAAGUCCAAGAUCACGGCACUGGCAGAUGCGGUGUCUGGUGAGGGCCCAAGGUUGCACUCCAGUGGUGGAAGGGGCGUCUGCAUUCAUGAGGGGGUCCACCCCCAUGACCACAUCACCCUCAAAGGCCCCAGCUCCCAGCACCAUCACAUUGGGGAUUGGAUUUAAACAUAUGAAUUUGGGGGGGGACACAAACAUUCUACCCUCCCAGGUGCUGGUAACACCACUCUACUCUCUGCUUCUGUGAGCUCAGCUUUUCAGGCGUCAGAGAACCCUCUGCCUACUCAACCAAGGAGCUGAAUUCGCACCUCCCUUCCAGGAUGUGAAAGCAGGAAGGAUGCCCCUGCCUCACUCGGCACACCCAGCUCAGUGGGUGUGCCCUCCACUCCUUCCAGGUCAGGGACAAAGACCUGGGUCCACACUGAUUGUGCGGCUGACUGUUGGCAGGCAGGUUCUCUGGGGAGCGAUCGGGAGCCCCAUGAGCAUAACUCAGCUCUGCGUGCAGAGGCACAUGGUGAUCGGUCCGUGGCAGCCCCUGAAAACCCACCAUCAGCAAACCAGAGGUUCGCCUUCAGGAGGACCAGAACGAGACCUGCAACAGGAGUUCUCUCCUCGGGGACACAGUGAGUGUCUCUGGUUUGUCCAAGAUUCUCACUAUGCCUGAGCUACAGCCAUCGACGGAAGGGCUGGGACAGUUUUACUCUUAUGUUCUGAAACUCCCAGUUUCCUAAGGACGACCUACAAUGGCCGACAUCCCUAAUCAUCAGGGAAAUGCAAAUCAAAACCACAAUGAGAUAGCACCUCGCACCUGUUGGGAUGGCCAUUAUUUUAAAAAGCAAAGACCUCAAGUGCUGGCCAGGAUAUGGAGAAUCUGAAGCCCUUGCACACUGCUGGUGGGAAUGCAAACUGGUGCAGCCUCUGUGGAAAACAAUACAGAGGUUCUUUAAAAACUUAAAAAUUAAACUACCAGAUGAUCCAGCAAUUCUACUUUUGGGUAUCUGUCCAAAAGAAUCGAUCAGAAUCUCCAAGAGAUGCUUGCACUCCCGUGUUCUCUGCAAGAGUGUUCUCAAAACCCAAGACCUGGAAACAGCCCAAGGGCUAACAGAUGACCAGGCAAAGAACAUGUGCUGUAUACAUACAAGAGAGUAUAAUUCAGCCUUGAAAAAGAGGAACAGUGUAGAGAGGACCUGGAGGAGUUUGCAAGUUUAUAAAGCUAGCAAAUGAGCUCUAUCAAAUGCUACACAGCUGAUAACAACAGUUCAUAACAACAGUUCAUGUGUAUCACCAGCCACACUUCCCUGAAACUCCACUUUUGCUGGGGGAGUAGGUUGUAGGCACCUGCAAAUUCUUCAUGAAGACCGAGCCCUCUCUCCAAGAAAACCCACAUUCCCGAGUACACUGGGAAGUUGGGGGUCUGUUCUGGAGGCUGCAAGGGCUCCCUGCCAUUAUGUCCCUGCCCCCAGCAGCUGUUAGGAAAAUGACUGUGUGAGAUGCUUCCCUUUGAUUUACGAAUAAAGUGGAAAACCACUGCCUUACUA